UCAGAAUUGUUAAAAUAUGAAGACAUAUAAUCUCGGAAUCAAGGAAAAGAUGGCAACUGAAAACCAAGUAUUCAUGUUGCUUCCCAGGAAGAUGACGGGCUGAACAAAGGAGCUGGGAAGUCAGAUGAGGAUAUUGAAGCAGGAAAAGAUGAAGUAAUGUUCAGGUGAAGUAGCUGAAGAGGGUAUAGUAUUAGAACAUGCCGUAGCUGGCUGACUCCACGCCCAUUACCCACUCUGCUACACUGGGGAGAAGAAAACAUUCAGGGAGGACAAAGUAUUGGCAUCUCGAGAUACCAUGCACUGCAUAAUGAGUGGCUAAACGUGAAAAAAAUGUAUAGGAAUCCUCUGUGGGUCCAGGCAGCUCUCCAGGGCCGCUGUCCUCCGUGCAAUGAUCCAGCAAUUCAUACAGCGUUCGCCUGCUGCUCUACCAGCUCCACACCAGACCUGGUUCUUUGACAGAGAAUGAGAAGCUCAGGUGCUGUGGAGAGGCUUUUCGCGGUUUGGCCUGAGAGUGACACAUACUGCUUCGGCUCCUGUUUCCUGGGCCAGAAGUUGUUACGUGGCUCUGCCUAACUGCAAGCGUCUGGGAAGCAGAGUCUCCCAUCUGCCCAGAAGGAAGAAGAGAGCUGGAUACUGCUGAACACUGGUAAUGGCAUGUUGUCCCAUCAUGCUUCCCAGACACCGGCAUAGUCCAGAUGGUCCGUGGUCCAAGUGAACAGAAAAAAACCCUA